UAAAAAACCCUAAUCCACGCCGCUUGUCUCUCAUGGCGAUUUCCACAACACUCUUCUUCAUCUCCAACCUCUCUGCGAUUAAACAUCUCUAGAUCGGAAUCUCGUUUCAGAAAAAAAAAAUCAACCAUCGCUGCAGCCGCGAUCGAGAAGCUCCCUCAGCUCAAAUCCGCCACCGAUGGACUUAAAGAGAUGAGUGAUAACGAGAUCAUGCUAGUUUCUUGAGAAAAAAUGGCAGAGACACUCAUCAUUACCAGCCAGACAUCACUCAUCAGGCGAGCCCACAGAUGCCACACAGAUGCCAUGGAGGGCUGAGUACGCAAAGUCCUCGAGGUCUUCCUGCAAGUCUUGCAAGUCCCCCAUUAACAAGGAGACUUUUCGUCUUGGAAAGCUUGUUCAAGCUACUCAAUUCGCUGAUGUCAUACCUGAACGAUAUUUUUGUAUUCUUGCUGAUUGGAUCCCGGGUUUCCUCUUUCAGAAAGACAGGGAGAUAUAAACUUGCAGAGCAGCGAUGCUCAAAGGUGAUCAUGAUACUUGCUGCAAGGUAAUACGAUGUUAGGCGGUCGCUUGUUUGGAAGAUCAUCUCUUCAGUCUGUUGGUCUCCAAAGACAAAGGAAGGAGUUGCUGCAAGUGCCCGACCAUUCUUGAUUCUUUCUUUCUUUUUCUAUAUACUUCUGUCCCUUCAAGAAUUGUCCUAUUGUAACCUUUUUUCAUUAGGAUAGUUUAUUUAUGUGGUUGGACUGUUGUGGUAUAUUUUCACAGCCAGAUCAAUAUGAAUCAAAAUAAAAUUCUUCU